rnacentral:hammerhead_ribozyme from 1 species
AUCCCGCUGACGAAUCCCGAAUAGGGUGAAACGCGCUUCCUGGAC